GCUCACUUUUUCAGUCACCCGCUGACGGACACACUGGGCGUGUUCAGUUUUACCCAAUUACAAACGAGGCUGCAGUGCAAAACCCUGUGCACGCUCCUUGAGGCCUUUGCUCGAGAACCAUCCAGAACUCACCUCCUCACUCUGUACAGAUGUUCAGAAUGUCUCCGGUACAAGUCGGAAACACGAUUCUCGCCGUAGGAGCUACCUGCACGGGAUGCUGCCGAGAAUGAAGCAGACACCACACCAUGCCCGUCUGAGAUGCCAAGGAAAGCGAUUUGUCCUGAAACAAGAUGCAUUUCUACGAGUAAACGCUCAAAUACGACUGCUCCUGUCGACCCCGCUAGACGGGUGAGGUGUCGCUCUGGAUGCCACGGGUGACACGCAGGCAGGCACAGGCGUGCGGUGAGCUAGGGCGACUGCAUCGGCGACGUGAUCCGCCGAAGGGGCCCCCGCUCUUGGCACAGCUCUGGACCAAACCCAGCGCGCCCUCCCCUCCACUGCCCCCCUCAUUCCGCUCCCGGAAGACCCCUUCACGUCAACAACCUCGUCAAAACUGCUUUCAGUUUCUUUGUACGACACAGUUAGGGUCUAGAUCCGGUUCGUUAUAAACAGAGUUUUCACCAAACAAUGAUGAGAGAUUUGAAAAAUCUCAUAGGAGGUGGGACCAUUCUUUUUGGGGACUGUCCUCAGUGCCGCAGGAAGAUUGGCAUCUCAAGCCCCCAUCCAAGAAAAGCCCUCAGCACCCCCCAGUUAUUGUGACACCCAAAAACAUCCCACAAGUUUACAAACGCCCCUGCUGAGGGGCACCACACAGCUUGGCAGGUAAUGGCCAGGUGUGGCUUCCGUGGCCAUCACAUCUCCCAAUCCAGGCUCACAGGGCAGAGCUGAAGUGCUGCUACUGGGGGCUGCAAACUCAGGGUCCUGUGACAUUUCUCCCAAGCCCGGAGGACAGGGCAGUGUUCAGGACAAUGGCUGGAAGGAGCCCUGGGCUUGGUCUUCCUCAAGAGAUGCUAUCACCCCAUGCCAAGUCCAGUCACACCCUCGGGGGCUGGGACCUGGACCCCACCUUAGAGAACGGGGCCGUUUCCAAGGCAUGUAUGGACUGAGGACUGUCCUGUGGAAUACGAAUGAGCUAGUGGAUGGGCCUUUUUGGGAGUCUUUUUUUUUUCAAUUGGAGUGUAGCUUAUGUACAGAAAAGUGCACAAUGAAUUUUCAUAUAUGUAUGCACUCCACUCCAGUCGAGACGUAGAACAUUCUGGCACCCCAAGAGGUCCCCUCGUGCCCCUUGUGGCCCAUCUCACCCUCGCCCCAGCCCCUGGCAGCCCUGACCUGGCUUCCGACACUGUAGCUUCAGUCUGCCUGUCCCAGGGUCCCUAUCAUCGGAAUCGCGCUGGGCGUGUUGUUUCAUGUCUGCCUCCCUUCACUCUGCGUCAUAUUUCUGAGACUCUCCUGUGUUGCUGCACAUAUUAGGGGCUCAUUACUUUGGUUGCUAAGUAGUGUUCCAUGGGGUGGAUAUGCCACGGUGUGGUUGUCCAGUCACCUGUUGAUGGACGUUUGGGUGGUUUCCAGUUUGGGGUGAUUACGAAUACUGCCGCUGUGAAUCUCGGGGUGCAGGCCAUCGUGUGGACUUGCAUUGUCAUUUCUCUUGGGUUAAAUGCCCACAGGGCGAUUGCUGGGUGGAAUGAGAAGUGUAGGUUUGACUUUGUAAGAAACCCCUGAGCCAUUUUCCUCAGGGCUGCCCGGUCUUGAGUUCCCGCCAGCGAUGUGUGGGAGGUCCAGUUGCCUGUGUCCUCGCCAGCACUUGUUGUUAUCAGUCUCUCUGCUGGGAGCCAUCCUGGUUGGCGUGGGAUCCUUUCUCACUGUGGCUUUAUUCUCCCUGAGGAACAAUGAGGCUGACGAGAGUGGACGUUACCGAGUGGAAAGCGCCCACCUCAGGAGGCCCCUCAGCAGAACCUCUUCAUGUGAGGCCCAGAGCGAUCCCCCCAACCCCCUGGGCUCCUCUGCCCGGACUUGGGAUGGCAAAGUCUGCCUGCACAGCAAGCCCCCUGGGGCCCGAGGAGGGUGCCUCUGGGUAGCCGAAACCUGGAGCAGGAGUUCCCCACACUGUUCCAGAGGGAAGAGGCCACAGCCUGGGGCUGACGACUGACCCUGAGACCCCAGCCCCUGAGUAGACGGGGUCAGAGUAAACAGCGUGGCUUGGGGACCAGCCCUGUGAUGGAGCGCCCACUGCCGUUUCCCACUAUGGGACUCUGGGCGAGGAAUCUCCUCUUUCACCUCGGUUUCCUCAUCUGUCAGGUGGGUAUCACAAUAGGACCGUCUCACAGGGACGUUGUGCGGAGCAUCUCCCCUGGUGCCUGGCGCCCAGCGCGUGCUCAAGACGGCAAAGGCACAGCAACACCUUCACUCCCCCACAAGGGCACAGCCACCCUUCAGAAAGAUCUGCCUUACAGAGCCUGGGACGUCUUCACUCUCUCUUAUUCACUCUUUUUUUUUUUUAGACACCAAAGCCUGGUUGGGAGCUGCCCUUGCCCGGUUUGAGCAUCGCGAUCCCGGGAAGGCCUGUGAAAAUGCCGGCACUGCUGGGCCCCAGCCCGGGGGUCUCGCUCGGCAGGGCUGGGCUGGGCUGAGGAGUUGCGUUUCCAGCAAGUUUCUAGACGGUGCUGAUGCUGCCGGCCCGGGGACCACCCUUUGGGGACGCUGGAGCGUCAUAUCCGUUAGCCUCCUGGGUCUCCACCUGGCUGGGUGUCAGAGUCACCUGGGGACACUUUAGAACCACAUGUGCCCUUCCCUGCCCCCCCGGGACUGUGAUUCCGUUGGUUUGGGGGGACCCCAGGGCAUCCGCGUAUGUGAGAAGCCCCCCAAGGGGACUCCCAGUUAACCGCCGGGUGAGAACCGCGGCCUCAGCCCAAAGCCACCUCUCCCUCUGCCUCAAGGAGCCCUGUGAAUCCCCGUCUUGCUGUGAGGACCGUUUACACAGAGAGACGCGGGGAACCAGCCCUACCCGCCAUGAGGACACCGAGCUCCUCGGUGUUGGAUGUCACUAUAAACCACCUCUUCAAGAUGGCUCUAAAAAGCAGCACAGUGAGCGGUUCCUCCAGGAGUGCAUUAAUAAUACAGGCCCACAGAGCAAGGGAGACAGUGUCCUAAUUUAUGCAGAAGGGCAUCUGCGGCCCGGGGUAGCAUUUCCAGCGGCUGCGUCACACUCGGAUUCAGAACCUGCCGUGUCUGAACCGUUGUGGACACGAGGGGUGCAGACACAUCAGCCGCCCUGUUUGAUGACUCAAACCACGACGCCAGAGGCGGGCAGGGAGCCGGAGGACAGUGCUCCGCGGACCGCAAGGAGAAACAGGACCAGUGAGCUCCAGCCUCCAGGAAGCUGAUGGUAGGACGGAAAGCCUACGUACAGAUAAAGACAAUACUGUGAUGAUGCCACUGCACUGAGAAAUGCAAAAGGGUUCAAGGUGUGGGUUCCACCCACAGGAAAAAGGACUGGCCGUGAUGGAACUUCCCACACAGAGGGAAGGGGUGCUGGGAGAGCCGCUGAGGCAUUUGAACGGAGACUGAAAAAAAGAGAGGAACAGAGCCUUGCGAAUAUCUUGGGGAAGACAAUACCUGGCAGUGGGAACGGCAAGUGCAAAGGCCCUGGGGUGGGAACACACUCACAACGUUCGGGGAACAGCAAGGAAGCCAGGGUGGCAGUGUGUGGCGAGAGGGAGAGCGGGCGGGUGGAUCUUGUGGGGCCCGUAGGCCGUGGAGGGACACGGUUUUAUUGAGUCAGGUGGGUCUGGAGGACCUGCUUUCUUUUGGGCUGAGCGGGAGGUGAACUCUUCUCCUUCUAGAUCCAGGACCUCUGCCCACAGCGGGAUCCAGUGUGCCCGUCCAGCAUUCUCAGGGCCUCCGGGAUGGAAGCAUUCAUCUUCGUGCCUCCCCAUCUGCCUCCUGCCCUCCUUCUCGCUGAGCUGACGGAGCAGCCAAGGGCAGGGGGGCUGGGGGGGAGGUGGGCGGCAGCCAGUCCCAGAGGCUGAGCUCUUCUAGGGCUGUGUCUUCCCAGCUCCGUCUGCACAGUGCAUCUCGGCUCUGGGAAUGAGCACUUAUUCAGCACCUCUUGGAUGCACAGCACUGACCUCUGCUCGGCACUGCAUGGAGCCAGGCACACCACCACAUCUGCCUUCCGUGACAGUCGCUCUUUGUAUUUUUAUGGCCCUUGAGAGUUUACUUUGUCUUCCUGCCAGGCCUGUGUCCCCUGGGGAGGCAGGAAGACAGUGCUGAAGGGACCUGCUUGGUGAUUAGAAAAGUGAGGGGAGGCAGAGGAGCUGAGGCCCUGGAACGCAGCUCUCUUGCUCCCUCCCUGCCCGGCCGACUCAGCCGCGCAGGAAUCACACCCACUGGGUGCUCCUGCCCUGUGGGGGCUGCUGGGGAUGGGGCCAGCUUCCUGAGUGUGCCACUUGCGCAGCCGCAUGGGGACCCAAACUUGGCUUCAUGCUCGACUGUCGCCAUCUUGAAAUUCUUAAUCAUUUUUGAACAAGAGACCCUGUGUUUUCGUUCUGCACGAGGCCCCACAAAUUACAUGGCCGGCCUGGACAGGGGCCCGGUUCCGGCUGUGCACACGGGGGCCCUGCAGCCGGCACAGAUCUGAGAUGCAGCCUGGACUCCAGGCCCCAAACGCUGCGGCCUGCAGAUCCCCACCUCUUGGCCAGAAGCCGCUGGAACCCCUCCGGCCCCGUGCUGCUGCGGAAGAACCUCUGUGGUGUCUGGUUUUGAUUAAAUAUCCAGAGUCACUCAUUAACUUGCCCCACGGACAGACUUGGAAGCCCUCCCAUAUAAAACCGUCCUUCCCAUGGCUGCCCAGCCCCGUCCCAGCCGCCCACAGCUCCUGCUGGAAAGCAGGAGCCCCUGGUUCAGGGACUGCAGACCGGAGGCGGCGGGAUGGCCUGCAGUCCUGCGAAGGCCGCAUCGUCCAUCGUGCGAGGCCCCCAGCUCAGCUCUCUCCUCUCCUCACUGGGGUCGGAGGCCGUCGUCUACCUCAUCCCGUUUUAGGGGUCCCGGAGGCCUCUCCCUACUUUGGCUGCUGGAUCUGAAAUUCCAUCACAGCCAGUCCUUUUUCCUGUGGGUGGAACCCACACCUCGAACCCUUUUGCAUUUCUCAGUGCAGUUGCUGCAAUGGUUUAUUUACCCAUCUGUGUCCCCACCAGGCCAGAGCUUUGCAGGGCAAAGUUGGCACCCCCUGCACUCAUUCUUCCAGAAACUACUCCCAGGAGCCCCCUGUGUGCCUGGUGCAAGGACUCUAGCACCACUUUUGGGUCCUCAACACUAGGCAAAAGGUCCUCCCUGGUUGGGGCCCUCUGAGUAUUUGCUGAAUGAAUGAACAGAUGAAAAUUACAGCUUACAUUUCCAGGUCCUCGCACUGUUUUAGUCGGUUCGUGUGCAUUUCCUCCCUUACUUCUCACAGUAACCCCGAGCUGAGCGCUCUGCCUGUCCCCAUUUUACAGAGGAGGACACCGAGGCACUCAGGAGUGUCACUUAGAGCGCUCACAACGCACACACGUGACCCCUGCAGCCGGAAGCCCGUGGAUUUACCGGCGGGCCGGGUUCAGAGCCAGAUCAGGGGAGCAUCUCCAGCCGGUGUUGCUUCCCCCCAGCCCCGAGUGGCAGGGACAGUCUACUCGCACAGACAUGUCACUGCUGUGCCAGCCUCCCCGCGUGCGCAGCGCCACGUGGCUCCGAGGUUCGCCCUCCGGUGGGACAGCCCACCCCUCGCUGCCUUUAAGAAAACAAGGCCCCUCGG
ensembl:lncRNA